CAGCAGCCGCGGUAAUACGUAGGUGGCAAGCGUUGUCCGGAAUUAUUGGGCGUAAAGCGCGCGCAGGUGGUUUAAUAAGUCUGAUGUGAAAGCCCACGGCUCAACCGUGGAGGGUCAUUGGAAACUGUUAAACUUGAGUGCAGGAGAGAAAAGUGGAAUUCCUAGUGCAGCGGUGAAAUGCGUAGAGAUUAGGAGGAACACCAGUGGCGAAGGCGGCUUUUUGGCCUGUAACUGACACCGAGGCGCGAAAGCGUGGGGAGCAAACAGGAUUAGAUACCCCCGUAGUCCCUGUCUCUUAUAC
rnacentral:rRNA from 1 species